GUGUCAGCAGCCGCGGUAAUACGAAGGGGGCUAGCGUUGCUCGGAAUCACUGGGCGUAAAGCGCACGUAGGCGGCUUUUUAAGUCGGUGGUGAAAUCCUGGAGCUCAACUCCAGAACUGCCUCCGAUACUGAAAGGCUUGAGUCCGGGAGAGGUGAGUGGAACUGCGAGUGUAGAGGUGAAAUUCGUAGAUAUUCGCAAGAACACCAGUGGCGAAGGCGGCUCACUGGCCCGGUACUGACGCUGAGGUGCGAAAGCGUGGGGAGCAAACAGGAUUAGAAACCCGAGUAGUCC
rnacentral:rRNA from 1 species